rnacentral:rRNA from 1 species
UACAGAGGGGGCAAGCGUUAUUCGGAAUUAUUGGGCGUAAAGGGCGCGUAGGCGGCUUUGCAAGUGAGGGGUGAAAUCCCUCGGCUUAACCGAGGAACUGCCUGUCAGACUGUGAGGCUUGAGACCGGGAGAGGUGAGUGGAAUUCCCAGUGUAGCGGUGAAAUGCGUAGAUAUUGGGAGGAACACCAGUGGCGAAGGCGGCUCACUGGACCGGAACUGACGCUGAGGCGCGAAAGCGUGGGGAGCAAACAGG